rnacentral:rRNA from 1 species
AGCAGCCGCGGUAAUUCCAGCUCCAAUAGCGUAUAUUAAAGUUGUUGCAGUUAAAAAGCUCGUAGUUGAAUUUCGAGAUCAGUACGCUGGUCGUGCCUUCGGUAUGCACUGGUGUCACUGGUUUCUCCCUUCUGAAGAACCGUCAUGUCAUUAAGUUGGUGUGGCGGGGAAUCAGGACUGUUACUUUGAAAAAAUUAGAGUGUUUAAAGCAGGCUCGCGCUUGAAUACAUUAGCAUGGAAUAAUGAAAUAGGACGUUUGACCCUAUUUUGUUGGUUUCUAGGAUCGACGUAAUGAUUAAUAGGGAUAGUUGGGGGCAUUAGUAUUCAAUUGUCAGAGGUGAAAUUCUUGGAUUUAUUGAAGACUAACUACUGCGAAAGCAUUUGCCAAGGAUGUUUUCAUUAAUCAAGAACGAAAGUUAGGGGAUCGAAGACGAUCAGAUACCGUCGUAGUCUUAACCAUAAACUAUGCCGACUAGGGAUCGGAUGAUGUUAAUUUUUAAUGACUCAUUC